rnacentral:rRNA from 1 species
CUGCGGCAGCGACACUGUGUGUUGUUGGGUAGGGGAGCGUUCUGUAAGCCUGCGAAGGUGGCCUGUGAGGGUUGCUGGAGGUAUCAGAAGUGCGAAUGCUGACAUAAGUAACGAUAAAGCGGGUGAAAAGCCCGCUCGCCGGAAGACCAAGGGUUCCUGUCCAACGUUAAUCGGGGCAGGGUGAGUCGACCCCUAAGGCGAGGCCGAAAGGCGUAGUCGAUGGGAAACGGGUUAAUAUUCCCGUACUUGGUGUUACUGCGAAGGGGGGACGGAGAAGGCUAUGUUGGCCGGGCGACGGUUGUCCCGGUUUAAGCGUGUAGGUGUGUGUUCCAGGUAAAUCCGGUUCACUUUAACACUGAGGCGUGACGACGAGGCACUACGGUGCUGAAGCAACAAAUGCCCUGCUUCCAGGAAAAGCCUCUAAGCAUCAGGUAACAUCAAAUCGUACCCCAAACCGACACAGGUGGUCAGGUAGAGAAUACCAAGGCGCUUGAGAGAACUCGGGUGAAGGAACUAGGCAAAAUGGUGCCGUAACUUCGGGAGAAGGCACGCUGACACGUAGGUGAAGUGAUUUACUCAUGGAGCUGAAGUCAGUCGAAGAUACCAGCUGGCUGCAACUGUUUAUUAAAAACACAGCACUGUGCAAACACGAAAGUGGACGUAUACGGUGUGACGCCUGCCCGGUGCCGGAAGGUUAAUUGAUGGGGUCAGCGCAAGCGAAGCUCCUGAUCGAAGCCCCGGUAAACGGCGGCCGUAACUAUAACGGUCCUAAGGUAGCGAAAUUCCUUGUCGGGUAAGUUCCGACCUGCACGAAUGGCGUAAUGAUGGCCAGGCUGUCUCCACCCGAGACUCAGUGAAAUUGAACUCGCUGUGAAGAUGCAGUGUACCCGCGGCAAGACGGAAAGACCCCGUGAACCUUUACUAUAGCUUGACACUGAACAUUGAGCCUUGAUGUGUAGGAUAGGUGGGAGGCUUUGAAGUGUGGACGCCAGUCUGCAUGGAGCCGACCUUGAAAUACCACCCUUUAAUGUUUGAUGUUCUAACGUGGACCCGUUACCCGGGUUGCGGACAGUGUCUGGUGGGUAGUUUGACUGGGGCGGUCUCCUCCUAAAGAGUAACGGAGGAGCACGAAGGUUGGCUAAUCCUGGUCGGACAUCAGGAGGUUAGUGCAAUGGCAUAAGCCAGCUUGACUGCGAGCGUGACGGCGCGAGCAGGUGCGAAAGCAGGUCAUAGUGAUCCGGUGGUUCUGAAUGGAAGGGCCAUCGCUCAACGGAUAAAAGGUACUCCGGGGAUAACAGGCUGAUACCGCCCAAGAGUUCAUAUCGACGGCGGUGUUUGGCACCUCGAUGUCGGCUCAUCACAUCCUGGGGCUGAAGUAGGUCCCAAGGGUAUGGCUGUUCGCCAUUUAAAGUGGUACGCGAGCUGGGUUUAGAACGUCGUGAGACAGUUCGGUCCCUAUCUGCCGUGGGCGCUGGAGAACUGAGGGGGGCUGCUCCUAGUACGAGAGGACCGGAGUGGACGCAUCACUGGUGUUCGGGUUGUCAUGCCAAUGGCACUGCCCGGUAGCUAAAUGCGGAAGAGAUAAGUGCUGAAAGCAUCUAAGCACGAAACUUGCCCCGAGAUGAGUUCUCCCUGA